GCCGAGCCUUGUAACGUGGGCUUGUGACUCAAGUGGGGGCAACAAUGUGGUGGAAUGUUGGGUAGUUCUUGAUGGCUGAGCUUUGAUGGGCUAUAAUCUCUGGCCUGCCCUAUCCAAGCGCGGAGUUGAGCCGUGUGGUCUACACGAAGGCAUAGGCUGCCUGGCUCUUAGAGUGGGAUGGACUGCGUGAGGCUGGUUUCACAGAGCAACGAGUAGUCCCCGGUCUGUGCAGUGGAAGGAUAACAGGUUGGUGCUCUUCGAGUUCAAUAAAAACCGGAUAAGCUGCCUAAUUAAACCACCACUUUU
rnacentral:SRP_RNA from 1 species